rnacentral:rRNA from 1 species
UACGUAGGGGGCUAGCGUUGUCCGGAAUCAUUGGGCGUAAAGAGCGUGUAGGCGGCUCGGUAAGUCCGCUGUGAAAGUCCAGGGCUCAACCCUGGAAUGCCAGUGGAAACUGUUGAGCUAGAGUCCGGAAGAGGCGAGUGGAAUUCCUGGUGUAGCGGUGAAAUGCGCAGAUAUCAGGAGGAACACCAGUGGCGAAGGCGGCUACCUGGCACAUAACUGACGCUGAUACGCGAAAGCGUGGGGAGCGAACCGG